rnacentral:lncRNA from 1 species
CCUGACUUCCGAACAUCCCAGAGCCUGCUGCCAACUUUAUUUUUAAUGAGGUUUUAAUAGGCCGUUUCUGUAAUUAAUUUCAUUCUUGUAUUUUCACACUUUCUGUCUAGAUGCCUAAACGCCCCCAGGCGCUAGGUGGGAUGUUAACUGAUUCCAAAUAAUGCAAAACACUAUGCCUGUGAUUAGACAUUUCCCAAGUCCCUCUCAUUUGCAAUUGCUUUACAAUAAUUAAUUAGCUGGGGCACACAGCCCAGUGGAAGGUCAGCCGGUUACCUGUCAGGUUUUACAGAGGCAGAAAUAGAUAAGGUGAAGAGACCAAAGGAUUUAAGGAUGAACAGAGGUACAAAAUCUGGGACUAUGAAGACGGAGGGGGAGGAGUUCGUGCU